GUUUCUACGCAAACUAGUCUCUCAGUUUGUAUUUCUAUUGCAGGUAGUAUAAUAGUCGGAACGAGCUAGAUUAUUAUUUUUAUUUAUUUUUUUAACAUUUCGGUUGUUCCCAUUGGAGCUAUAUGGUUAAGCUUUAUUUUUUUUCUUUUUUUUCGCAAUUGUCAACGUGGAAAAAUCAAUUGGAUGUGCUUACAUACAAUAAAAAUCAAGCGGCCCCCGUGCGUCCCGUCACUCCCGACAAAAAAAUCGAAUAAAGCAUUAAAUUAGAUUCGCCUAAUCCAGACAUUUCAGAAGCCUAACAUGGGCUCCCAACAAUACUUACUUACUUACACGUCAGCUGGAUCAUCAUUAACCAGCACUGUUAGAACGGUGAGUUCCGCUAUCACAACAACAACUACUACAACAAGCUCGGCAACGGCGUUGGUUUCACAUUGUAGACCAUCUACAAUGCCGGCUUGAGAACCGCCCAAUGAUUAAAACUGGUAUGGAUAGCUUAAAAAAAAAACAGAAAACGUUUGUAAAUUGGCCAAGAUCAAAAACCCUCUUUACGAAAAGAGGUUCGCACUGCUGGAAAAUGACGAUGAAGUAGAGCCUAAACAAGUCUUUACGUACGUGAAACCAUAAGCUGGAAAACUCAAUUACUCGCCUAGCAUACGUUUCACCCAAUGAAACUGACCAAGGGCAUCUUAAAAGAAACCAAACUCCAGAUUCUAAAUGAGGAGAACUACAGAAUCGUAACCAAAGCUUUACAAGACAAAUAUAAAACCUAUUAUUCGUACCAGCUUAAAACAGCAAAGGGCAGCAAGUGGUUAUAAAAGGAAUUGAAUCUAACGUUCAUACUGACGACGUAGUUCGUGCUUUGGACUUUUCGGUCCCAACGUGAAGCAAAUCAAGAAAACCUCAGAUCACACCAUCUAUAAUCUGCAAUACCUUUUAUGUACAUCGUAGAAUUUCUGUUGAAGAACCACACAAGUUGAAAACCCCGGUUCAAUGCAGUAAUUCUCGAGAAUUCGGUCACACGAAAACCUGUUGCACCAUGCACUCAGUUUGCGUUAAAUAAAGACAAUGGAAUAGUGAGGAAAUGCGGUAAUUGCCAACUUUAGAGGAUGCCCGGUAUACAAGACCAGUACCAGAAAGAUGUAGGCAACAAUGUCGAAGCUAAUGAAGAAUAAAAAUCACCUAAUCCAAAUACUUUCCAACCACAAUAAUGAAUUAUGUCCCCUCUUAAAAUUUGCUUCUGGAACUUCCAGCAAAAGCAUGAGCUGUCGCAGCUUCUUCACCAGAUGGAAAUUUAUGUUAUGUUCAUCUCAGGAACGCAUCUAACGAGCAAAAAUAAUUUGCACACUAAUAAUUAUAUAUUUUAUGGCACGAAUCAUCCAGAUGGCAAAGCCCGCGGUGGGCACACAAUCUUCUUCCAGCGAAACAACUGCUACAACAACAAGCAUUAGCACAAACUUUGUUAUGUCAUCGAAAACCAAUUUAUGCACUACAUUAUUCAUUAGGAGACCGAUUCCUAGCACCAUGUUACUAUAAUGCGAAUCACACUCACUGGUGAUCUCCCCUUCUAAGCCCGAAAGGCAGACAACUAUAAAGCGCGAUUAUCCAACAAAGCAAUAAACUGGAAUGUCUCCAGGAAGACCUACCUACUGGCCCGAAUAAACAGCCAGGUUUACUUGAUUUCGCCAUCACUAGAAGAAUUCACGCGCCCUCAGCUAUCCAAAAUCCAGUAGCUCUUAACAACGAAAAGAACGAAUUGGUCCUAGAUCCAAUCAUCAACAGCACUAAGGACAUAGAUGACACAGUACAAAAUCUGGAAGCACUACUUGUAUCUGCACCCAGCUCCCAUACAUCAAACCGACAGUUAUAUUAAACUAUUAGUCAGGAAAAAGUGCCGCCUCCGUCGAGACUGGCAUGCCAGCAGGUCAGCAAGACGACUUUUUCGACUAUGUGAAACAGGGGUUCCCUGUUUUGCAAUGCAAUAUAAAUGUAAUUAAUAUUGACAAUACAUUUGUUUUUAAAGUGGAGCAAACCACUGGACGCAACGAGCAAGCUGCAUUUACCUUUUAGGCAAAAAGGCUGGUGAUUCGCUACAAUUUGAAUACUGUUAGUUAAAACAAGUUUGGUUUUGAUUUUGUUAUUCAAAAGAAAACGCUUUGGAAAAAGAAUAAGCCUAAAUAUGAUUUUCUUUCAAGUUUAUACAAAGAAUAUGAAACAACCCAAACGGUACAAUUAAUGAAAAUUAAUCUGUUCAUUAUUUUUUUCGAUUACAUGUUUAAUGACGUUUACAUGUCUUUUAUAAAUUUUUAUAAUGACGGAGUCAAAUUGCAUCAGAAAUCAAAUAUUCAUAGAAUCAUAAUAUAAAUUUGUUUAAUUUAGAAAUCAUGUUAC